UACGGAGGGUGCAAGCGUUAUCCGGAUUCACUGGGUUUAAAGGGUGCGUAGGAGGGCAGGUAAGUCAGUGGUGAAAUCUUCGAGCUUAACUCGGAAACUGCCGUUGAUACUAUCUGUCUUGAAUACCGUGGAGAUGAGCGGAAUAUGUCAUGUAGCGGUGAAAUGCUUAGAUAUGACAUAGAACAUCAAUUGCGAAGGCAGCUCGUUACACGAAUAUUGACUCUGAGGCACGAAAGCGUGGGGAUCAAACAGG
rnacentral:rRNA from 1 species